CGGGGCGUAGCGCAGCUGGUAGCGCGCCAGCUUUGGGAGCUGGAUGUCGUGGGUUCAAAUCCCGCCGCCCCGACCA
rnacentral:tRNA from 1 species